UGUAGCUCAAUGGUAGAGUACUCGCCUCGCACGUGAGAGGCCCUGGGUUCAAUCCUCUGCA
rnacentral:tRNA from 1 species